rnacentral:rRNA from 1 species
GACGAACGCUGGCGGCAUGCCUAAUACAUGCAAGUCGAACGAGUGGCGGACGGGUGAGUAAUGUCUGGGAAACUGCCCGAUGGAGGGGGAUAACUACUGGAAACGGUAGCAAAUACCGCAUACCAUCGGAUGUGCCCAGAUGGGAUUAGCUAGUUGGUGGGGUAACGGCUCACCGAGGCGACGAUCCCUAGCUGGUCUGCGAGGAUGACCAGCUACACUGGAACGGAGACACGGUCCAGCGUCCGACGGGAGGCAGCGGUGGGGAAUAUGGCACAAUGGGCGCAAGCCUGAUGCAGCCAUGCCGCGUGUAUGAAGAAGGCCUUCGGGUUGUAAAGUACUUUCAGCGAGUAGGCGUUACUCGCAGAAGAAGCACCGGCUAACUCCGUGCCAGCAGCCGCGGUAAUUC